UGGGGAAUAUUGGACAAUGGGGGAAACCCUGAUCCAGCCACGCCGCGUGAGUGAUGAAGGCCUUCGGGUUGUAAAACUCUGUCGUGAGUGAGGAACGUGACGUUAACUCACAAGAAAGCACCGGCUAACUCCGUGCCAGCAGCCGCGGUAAUACGGAGGGUGCAAGCGUUGCUCGGAAUUACUGGGCGUAAAGGGUGCGCAGGCGGAUUGUUAAGCAAGAUGUGAAAGCCCAGGGCUCAACCCAGGAACUGCAUCUUGAACUGGCAAUCUUGAGUCCGUGAGAGGGGGGUAGAAUUCCAGGUGUAGAGGUGAAAUUCGUUGAUAUCUGGAGGAAUACCGGUGGCGAAGGCGGCCCCCUGGCACGGUACUGACGCUGAGGCACGAAAGCGUGGGGAGCAAACAGG
rnacentral:rRNA from 1 species